ensembl:lncRNA
GAGAGAGGGAUAGAGAGGUAGAGGGAGAGAGGGAGAGAGGGAUAGAGAGGUAGAGGGAGAGAGGGAGAGAGGGAUAGAGAGGUAGAGGGAGAGAGGGAGAGAGGGAUAGAGAGGUAGAGGGAUAGAGAGUGAAAGGGAGAGAGGGAUAGAGAGGUAGAGGGAGAGAGGGAGCGAUGGAGAGGGGGAUAGAGAGGUAGAGGGAGAGAGGGAUAGAGAGGUAGAGAGGGAUAGAGAUAGAGAUAGAGGGAGAGAGAGAGAGGGAUAGAGAGGGAGAGAGGGAUAGAGAGGUAGAGGGAGAGAGGGAGAGAGGGAUAGAGAGGUAGAGGGAGAGAGGGAGAGAGGGAUAGAGAGGUAGAGGGAGAGAGGGAGAGAGGGAUAGAGAGAUAGAGGGAGAGAGGGAGAGAGGGAUAGAGAGGUAGAGGGAGAUAGGGAGAGAGGUAGAGGGAUAGAGAGGGAUAGAGAGGUAGAGAGAGAGAGGUAGAGGGAUAGAGAGGUAGAGGGAUAGAGAGGGAU